AUGGUACGUGACGACAACCGUAGCACCGGACACAGUAAGUCCGGCCGGGCCGAACAAAACAGACAAAGCUCUUUUGAGCUCCGUCGUGAUAUCGCCCAGUACAGAGGCGCCGCACACCCACUAUGCUUCACAGAUGAAGUAAUGGAUCAUCAAAUCCCCGAAGGGUUUAAACCCGUUAAUAUCGAAUCUUACGAUGGCACAACAGACCCCGCGGUUUGGAUCGAAGACUAUCUUCUUCACAUCCACAUGGCCCGCGGUGACGAUCUUCACGCCAUCAAAUAUCUUCCCCUCAAGCUUAAAGGACCAGCCCGACAUUGGCUUAACAGCUUGCCAGCAGAGUCAAUUGAGAGUUGGGAAGACCUGGAAGCCGCAUUCCUCGAUAACUUCCAGGGCACGUAUGUGCGACCACCAGACGCUGAUGACCUAAGCCACAUAAUUCAGCAGCCAGACGAAUCGGCCAGACAAUUCUGGACACGGUUCUUAACCAAGAAAAACCAAAUCGUCGACUGUCCGGAUGCGGAGGCCCUCGCGGCCUUCAAGCAUAACAUCCGCGACGAGUGGCUUGCCCGGCACCUGGGACAGGAAAAGCCGAAAUCCAUGGCAGCCCUCACAUCACUCAUGACCCGCUUCUGCACGGGCGAGGAUAGCUGGCUAGCACGCAGCAACAACCUCAGCAAACAUUCUGGCAGUCCGGAUUUCAAGGACCGAAAUGGCAGGUCGCGUCGUAACAAAAACAAGCGCCGCAUCAACGGCGACAAUAGUGAGGAUACGGCAGUCAAUGCCGGAUUCAGAGGCUCUAAACCCGGUCAGCGGAAAAAGCCAUUCAAAAGAACUGCUCCGGGUCCGUCCAAUUGGACCGAAUACUCGACCGCUUGUGCCAGAUACACGGCACCUCCGAAAAGCCAGCUAACCACACCAAUAGGGACUGUUGGGUAUUCAAGCAGGCAGGCAAGUUAA
rnacentral:rRNA from 1 species